UACGUAGGGGGCAAGCGUUGUCCGGAAUCAUUGGGCGUAAAGCGCGUGUAGGCGGCCAGAAAAGUCCGCUGUGAAAACUCGAGGCUCAACUUCGAGCUGUCGGUGGAAACUUUCUGGCUAGAGUCCGGAAGAGGAGAAUGGAAUUCCUGGUGUAGCGGUGAAAUGCGCAGAUAUCAGGAGGAACACCGGUGGCGAAGGCGGUUCUCUGGGCCUUACCUGACGCUGAGGAGCGAAAGCAUGGGGAGCAAACAGG
rnacentral:rRNA from 1 species